rnacentral:ncRNA from 1 species
UGCAAAAGAUUGACAGAUUGAUAGCUCUUUCUCGAUUCUGUGGGUGGUGGUACAUGACUGUUCUUAGUUGGUGGAGCGACUUGUCUGGUUAAUUCCCAUAAUGAACAAGACUCUGGCAUGCUAACUAGUUACGUGACCCUCGAGCAGUCGGUGUCCAGCUUCUUAGAGGGACAAGUGGCGUUCAGCCACCCGAGAUUGAGCAAUAACAGGUCUUUUAAUUA